rnacentral:rRNA from 1 species
UACGUAGGGGGCAAGCGUUGUCCGGAUUUAUUGGGCGUAAAGAGCUCGUAGGUGGUUCGGUAAGUCGGAUGUGAAAUCUCCAGGCUCAACCUGGAGGGGUCAUUCGAUACUGCCGUGACUAGAGUUCGGUAGGGGAGUGUGGAAUUCCUGGUGGAGCGGUGAAAUGCGCAGAUAUCAGGAGGAACACCGGUGGCGAAGGCGGCGACCUGGGUCGAGACUGACGCUGAGGCGCGAAAGCGUGGGGAGCAAACAGG